AGGGAUUGCCCUAGUACGGCGAGUGAAGCGGCAACAGCUCAAAUUUGAAAUCUGGCCCCCUAGGGGGUCCGAGUUGUAAUUUGCAGAGGGUGCUUUGGCGUUGGCAGCGGUCUAAGUUCCUUGGAACAGGACGUCACAGAGGGUGAGAAUCCCGUACGUGGUCGCCAGCCUCCGCCGUGUAAAGCCCCUUCGACGAGUCGAGUUGUUUGGGAAUGCAGCUCUAAAUGGGAGGUAAAUUUCUUCUAAAGCUAAAUACUGGCCAGAGACCGAUAGCGCACAAGUAGAGUGAUCGAAAGAUGAAAAGCACUUUGGAAAGAGAGUCAAAAAGCACGUGAAAUUGUUGAAAGGGAAGCGCUUGCAGCCAGACUUGCCUGUAGUUGCUCAGCCGGGCUCCGGCCCGGUGCACUCUUCUGCGGGCAGGCCAGCAUCAGUUCGGGCGGCCGGAUAAAGACCUCUGUCACGUACCUCCCUCCGGGGAGGACUUAUAGGGGAGGUGAAAUGCGGCCAGUCCGGACUGAGGUCCGCGCAUCUGCUAGGAUGCUGGCGUAAUGGCUGUAAGCGGCCCGUCUUGAAACACGGACCAAGGAGUCUAACAUCUAUGCGAGUGUUUGGGUGUCAAGCCCGAGCGCGUAAUGAAAGUGAACGGAGGUGGGAACCCCUCGGGGUGCACCAUCGACCGAUCCUGAUGUCUUCGGAUGGAUUUGAGUAAGAGCAUAGCUGUUGGGACCCGAAAGAUGGUGAACUAUGCUUGAAUAGGGUGAAGCCAGAGGAAACUCUGGUGGAGGCUCGCAGCGGUUCUGACGUGCAAAUCGAUCGUCAAAUUUGGGCAUAGGGGCGAAAGACUAAUCGAACC
rnacentral:rRNA from 1 species